rnacentral:misc_RNA from 1 species
UCCGAGUUGACCCCGGCAGUCUCCCAUGAGUCCCCGGCAUGAUCCGCUGGCAACAUGGAACGAGGGUUGCGCUCGUUGCGGGACUUAACCCAACAUCUCACGACACGAGCUGACGACAACCAUGCACCACCUGUGCACGGCCCUUACGGACCCGACAUCUCUGCCGGAUUUCCGCACAUGUCAAGCCUAGGUAAGGUUCUUCGCGUUGCAUCGAAUUAAGCAACAUGCUCCGCCGCUUGUGCGGGCCCCCGUCAAUUCCUUUGAGUUUUAGCCUUGCGGCCGUACUCCCCAGGCGGAGUGCUUAAUGCGUUAGCUGCAGCACUAAGGGGCGGAAACCCCCUAACACUUAGCACUCAUCGUUUACGGCGUGGACUAC